rnacentral:rRNA from 1 species
AAAUUGAAGAGUUUGAUCAUGGCUCAGAUUGAACGCUGGCGGCAGGCCUAACACAUGCAAGUCGAACGGUAACAGGAAGCAGCUUGCUGCUUUGCUGACGAGUGGCGGACGGGUGAGUAAUGUCUGGGAAACUGCCCGAUGGAGGGGGAUAACUACUGGAAACGGUAGCUAAUACCGCAUAACGUCGCA